CAAUAGCGUAUAUUAAAGUUGUUGCAGUUAAAAAGCUCGUAGUUGGAUUUCUGGUAGGAGCGACCGGUCCGCCCUGUUAAGGGUGUGUACUAGCGUUGUCUCUGGCCAUCCUUGGGGGGAACUGCGCGGGGAGACUUGCGUUAGGGAACCCAUCGUUUACUGUGAAAAAAUUAGAGUGUUUAAAGCAGGCUUAUGCCGUUGAAUACAUUAGCAUGGAAUAAUAAGAUAGGACCGCGUGGUCGUCUUGUUGGUUUGCACCGCGAGGUAAUGAUUAAUAGGUACAGUUGGGGGUAUUCGUAUUUAAUUGUCAGAGGUGAAAUUCUUGGAUUUGUUGAAGACGAACCACUGCGAAAGCAUUCUCGACCGAAAGUAUUUCGUUACUUCGAUUUCGAAGUACCGAAAAGGUUAAACGGGGAAAAGUUUAGGGUAAGGAACGUACGUUAAGGAACGUAACCGUUCCUAGGAGUAACCCGUUCGUCCGAAAGGGACCUACGACCCAAAGGGGGACUAACCGGAC
rnacentral:rRNA from 1 species